ACCGCGGUUCCGAACCUACUGCAGCAUCUGGUUGAAAUUUUAGGCGCAUAAUAGGUACUACAUUAGCUGAUUCGAGUUUUUUUUGUGCGCCUAGGGUUUGAAUCUAAAUUUGUAUUGCUUCAGUUUUCUACUUCUAGUCUCACUGGAAUUGUAUAUACAGGCAGCAAGUACCACUACAUAUUCCCAUCUAUAGGUUGUACUCCUACCAUUUUUAAGCUUAUUUUGUUGUCCUCAUUUUUUCCAUACACAUAGUUUUCUGGUCAUAUAAAUUUUGAGAUAUCAUUUGUACUUUUCUCAAGUUUAGUCCUGACCAUAUCAUAUUUGUUAGAAGGCGUCAUAUGGAGUGGGGAGUCGCUGGAGCUGGGUGAAGGUAGGACCGCUGCUGUAUCAAUGCUGAAAUUGGUUGGCUUCUUCUUCUUCUUCUCCAUGGUUUAGGUGAGCUCCUGCGUCCUCUCUUCUCUCACCACAUGGCCAUAGGCUCCAUGGCCAUGUAGCUUUCGUUAUUUUUAAAACAACUCUUAUAUAUUAGCAGAGCUGCUUUGUGUACCUAGUGUUAAGCUUUACAUAUUGCUAAAUAUGACAACUGGUGUGUAUAUGCGGAAUAAUAACAAUAAUUCAGUAUAUCAUAUUGGUCGAAUGAUUUAGUUGCCGAUGAUGCAUGUAAUACCAUUUGUUUGUGUCAUAGUGGUGCUGACCACUGAUGAUGCCAUAGUGGUGCUGACCUGAUAUUGUGGAAAUGAGAAAUGGUUUGGAUGGGGUUGGGUUAGACAUAUGAGUUGUCAGGUGCUGCUUAGGUUUUGAAAAUAGGAUUUUUGGGUAUGAGAUGAGACCUUCUGUGGUUGAAUAUAGUGCAGUUUAUUUAGCUGUGGCUUGGGCUGCCAUGGUGAUUCAUUCUGAUGUUGCCGUGGUGCAUGGUUUGGGGUGGCCAUUGUCAGGCUUACCUAUGUUUAGUCCGGAGAUGUAGCAGACCUUGUGUGUUGAAAACAUCACUUGUCAGCCUAGGUGUUUUGUUGUAGUACAACUUAAGGUUGGUGAAUAUGCUGUGUGGAACAUCUUUGUUUAUUGGAUUGUCUGGCACUAGUGGCUGGCGAUCAUGUGCUUUAGUUUUACUGUGAGAAACUAAAUCUGUGCAGGUUUUACUUAUUAGUCUUUCCAAACGAUUUGGUUUAUUCAUGACUAGUUUUUUUAUCAUUAUACACUAUAUAAAAGCUGAUCAAAUCAGCGCCUCCAUAGAGUUUUGAGCACUGUAGAAGUGCUAUUUAUCUUCCCAUUGCUCCAGCGGUUGCCUCACACGUGUCCCUGACUUUGCUCUUUUACUAUGUUGGUUUUUUAUUUUGCUAUUUUCCGGCAACCGGCUGAAACGCUCUUCCAUUCAUAUCCACUAUCCAUACGGAAGUCUCCCGGUCUUUGAAUGGAGUUGGCUACUGUUUGCCUAACGUGGCUUUGGUUUGAGAAACGUGGCAGUUUCUAGAUAGGCCACCGCUUAGAGAGAUAUUUCUGGGCGUUCUACUCAUCUACAUCUUUGCCUUCUCCACGUACACACCCCACCACUCAUCUCCCGCAUCGUAGCCCCGAACGACCUCCGCCGCUGGCUGAGAAACCGGCGCCGUCCGCCAUACUCCUCCAGUUCUCUCCGGAGCAGGACAGCUCCACGGAUCGGCCAACAAUUUUCUCCUUCAGAAGUGAGACGCCGAUGCCCAUCUCCAAGCUUCCCCGAGCGACCUCCGCAAUCGGCUGAGAAACCGGCGCCGCCCGCCAUACUCCUCCGGUCCUCUCCGCAGCAGGUCGUCUCCACACGCCGACCACUUUCUCCUCCAGAAGUGAGAACCCGACGCCCAUCCCCAAGAUUCCUUGCUCGAGACUGCUGGUACGAAGACGGCGAGAUCGACCUAAAGCUCCUCAUCUCCUGUCUCCUACGAUACACAUGAUCUCGCCAACAUCUUCCUCUCCCUCUCCAUAAUUUAAUUUUCCUCAUGUGCAACAACCUUCUAUCUUGAUGGGCGUGGCAUGUCGGGCGCACCUAGGAGCUUCUUGAUUUAGAUGCGGCGUGGGGUUUCUGGUCAUGGCAUGGAGUCCGCACAGCAAAAGGAACAAGGCACACGCUUCGCCGUCCACUCGAUCGAAUCUGUCGCCCACCUGAGCAAUAGGGAUUGGCCACGGUGGAGGAUCCGACCACUUUUUCGGCAACACUUGUGUUGCCUGGUGCACCUUUUCCUUGCAGCUAGCAGCAUGAGCGACUAGAAAAGCACAGACAAAUAAGCGACCACAAGGCAGUGUUGCAGGUAUUUGUUCCUACAUAUCUCUCUCUAUUUUUUUCUACCGUCACGUUCCGUGUAGGAGUAGCACAUGUGCCUUGCAGCUGUUUGUGUUUAUGCUUAAAUGGAGAAAGGGACUUUGUGUACAAAGAGUGAGUCACGACAAUGUUCAGAAUGCAGUAUUUCCAAUGUUUCCUCUGCUAUGCGAAGCUGUUGAUGUUCAUUGGUGUUGUUUUACUUUACUAUAGGUUCUCACCAUCUCACGGAAAGCACAUUCACUUUCAUAAUAUUUUUUAUGACUAACAAUCCAGACUUCUAGAAACAGAGCCCAAUGUCAUACCUUCCCGGGAGCUCUUCCGCAAGGUCUGGAAGAUGCAGAAAAUAUUGAGCUAGAUGGUACGCAUCCGAUGGGUUAUGUGUGUACACGAAGGUUCAAGCCCUGAUGCAGAAUUAUGAAGUGUUUUUUUACCUGAAUUAUGAAAGUAUAUCACAAUAUACAUAGAGGUCUUAUUACAAAUUUAUGGAGUUCUCUUCCGUUAAGCUUAUUGUUCAGUUUUUCUCCACAUUUAACUGAUGUCAUCUUUGCAGGCGAAGUUCGGAGCAUGCUUCUAGGAUCCUACUUUGCUUGGUUAUUUCUAUUGAGCUGCACAUACUGAAGUCUGACCGCUUAAAUUUAAAUGGAGGACCAAAAUCAUGUUGGAGGGCUCAACUCAAGAAAUCUACAGCUCACAUUUAUGGUUACUCGGUUCUCAGGCUAUCUAUGGAAGCUAAAGCAACCUAACGAAUUUGUUUUACACAGGAAAUGCAUAUGGCCAGUGCUUAGUUUCAUCUUUCAUGUACAUUGUAAGGCAGCGUCCUGACGGCUGCCUUUCCUAGAUGUAUCAGUUGUACUGCAUGUAAUUCUACAUAUUGGCAAUGGAUGGAUGUGCCAAGAUUUACCUUUCCUUUUCCUGUUUUUAUGUUGCAAUUCCAAAUAGAACACUUGCCAUCUA